rnacentral:rRNA from 1 species
GAUGAACGCUGGCGGCGUGCCUAAUACAUGCAAGUCGAGCGAACGGACCAUAAGCUUGUUUCUCUGAUGUUAGCGGCGGACGGGUGAGUAACACGUGUAUAACCUACCUAUAAGACUGGGAUAAUUACGGAAAACCGGCGCUAAUACCAGAUGAUACUUUGAACCGUAUGGUUCAUAAGUGAAAGACGGCCUUGCUGUCUCUUAUCGCUGGUUCCGCGCUGCAUUAGCUAGUUGGUAAGGUAACGGCUUACCAAGGCAACGAUGCAUAGCCGACCUGAGAGGGUGGUCGGCCACACGGGAACUGAGACACGGUCCAGACUCCUACGGGAGGCAGCAGUAGGGAAUCUUCCGCAAUGGGCGAAAGCCUGACGGAGCAACGCAGCGUGAGUGAUGAAGGUCUUCGGAUCGUAAAACUCCGUUAUUAGGGAAGAACAUAUGUGUAAGUAACUGAACACAGCUUGACGGUACCUAAUCAGAAAGCCACGGCUAACUACGUG